GUAUAAUGAAGUAAUGGGUAACAAGAUGCUGACUUGAAUGUAUGUUGCAGAGUACUUAAUUAAACUUUUAAAGAUUAUAAGAAAUAAGAAAGAAUGUGGAACUUGCCCAAAACCUAAACUAUAUCCUCUUAAUUUCUAUUUAUCAUUCGAUUACCAUUGUAUGGGCUUAUGUUAUCUACCCUCUCUCUCUUUCUGCUUCCGAACAUCGCCUUAGUAUGUUUCAUCUGAAUAUCAAAUUCAUAACUUAUUCUCUUUGCAAACAUUUGUUGACUGUUAUCAAUCUUCUUUCACUAGCACUGGCAACAUUGUAUGAUUGUUUGUGAUUAUGGAAGUGCUAUUCUUUUAAGUAUCAAGUGCUAAAAAGUCACAAAUGUAGUUUAUCUGACUAUUUUAUUUUCUUUCAUUUGUUUAAAACAUACAGCCUAGUUUGUCAUAGUUAAAGACUUGGAUUUUAGUGAUGGAUGCAAAUAUCACUAGUUCUUGUGAGGGAAUGAGUAUUGAAGACUUGAAUUUUAGUGAUGAUGAGAAAUCUCCUAUAGUUGAUGAAGGAUAUGGGGUUUCAAAUGAUCAGUUUGAAGAGGAUAUAAAUUGCGAGGUAGAUCCAAAAAUUGGAAUGACAUUUGACACAACAAAAGAAGCAUAUGAUUUCUAUAAUACAUAUGCAAGGCGAGUUGGCUUCAGUGUUAGGAUAUUAAGAACAAACAAGAAUAGAUCUGACAAAAAUAAAAUCCAACGGCAAGCACUAGUUUGUUUAUGUGAGGGCACUUCCAAAAAAAUCAAGACACCUGGAAAAAAAAAAGAUAUUCGGCGAUUUGACUGUAAGGCAAAAUUUGUGAUUAAACUGGUUCCCGACGAUAAGUAUAGACUAAUUGAGUUCAAAUCGGAGCAUACUCAUGAUCUUGUCCCACUUCAGCAUUCCCAUUAUUUGAGGUCUCAAAGGAAAAUCGAUUUUUCACAAGCUGAACUUAUGAAGAAAAUGCGUUCCUCUGGAAUAAAACAAGGACAAAUUUUCUCCUACAUGUGUGAAGAAGCUGGUGGAGCCCAAAACCUGAAUUUCACAAAAGCUGAUUGUAACAAUUUAUUGCAAAGAACACGGGCUAAAUUUUUCAAGAUGGGUGAUGCCAAAUGUUUCCUUGAAUACUUCAAACAAAAGAAAGGGGAAGACAAACAUUUUUUUUACUCUUUUCGAACCCAUGAAGAUGGUGAGAUAUGCGGUGUAUUUUUUUGUGAUGCAAAAUCGAGACGAAAUUAUGGGAUAUUUGGUGAUGCGAUAUGUUUCGAUACAACAUUUCGAAUAAACAAUUAUGAUAUGUUAUGUGCACCAAUUGUUGGCAUCAACCAUCAUGGGCAAACAUCACUUUUUGGGUGCGGUCUACUAGAUGGUGAAACAAUUGAUGCAGUAAUGUGGUUGUUUACUACUUUCUUUGAGGCUAUGGGAGGAAAAAAACCGAAAAGCAUAUUUACAGAUCAGUCUGCAGCUAUAUCAAGUGUUGUUGAUACGGUAUUGCCUGAAGCCCACCAUGGAUUGUGCUUGUGGCAUUUAUGUCAAAAUGCUGCAAAGAAUUUGAGUAAUAAUGGAUAUAAAACAUUUGCACCACAAUUCAAAGCUUGUAUUUACAAUCCAGAAACAGUUGAAGAAUUUGAACAAAGUUGGGACAAAUUGCUUGAAGAUAAUGGGCUAAGAGGUAAUGAGUGGUUGCAAAGAACAUAUAAGUUGAGAAAGAAAUGGGCUCAAGUGUAUAGUCAUGCUCACUUUUGUGCUGGCAUGACUACUUCACAGAGAAGUGAAAGUAUCAAUAAGUUUUUGAAGGAUUAUUUUAAUCAUGGUAGAAUUGUUCUUCGGGAGUUUGUAAGUCUAUACUCUAGGGCCAUGGAUAAUCGCCGUGAAAAAGAAAGGGAGGCUGAACAUUUAACACAACAAACAACACCUAAUUUUAUUUGUAAUUGGUCUGUAGAGCGUGAAGCAGCAAAAAAAUAUACAAAAAAAAUAUUUUACUGGUUUCAAGAAUGUAUUAAGCAAACCAUUGAUUUGUCAUUGGAAUUGGAGAAUGAUGAUGGAACUAUUCGUACCUAUAGAGCUAAAGAGAUUUGAAGGUCGAAAAAGGAUUUGCACACUUACAUACAACCACUUGGAACAAACAGUGUCAUGCACAUGUAAAAAAUUUGAGUUCGAUGGAAUCCUUUGUUCGCAUGCAUUGAAGUUGUUCCGCCACUUAGAGUUCAAGAGUUUACCUCCGGAAUACUAUUUGAAAAGAUGGACACGGGCAGCUACAUAUGAAGUUAUUUGUGAUCCCAUGGGAGAGAUAAUUCCAAAUGACAACGAUCCAAUGCUAACAGCUCAUUAUAGUGAGUUAUCACAUAUUUCACAAAGAAUUGUGUCCAAGGGUUCAAGGUGUAUUGAUGUUUUUUCAUUAAGCAAAUCACUAUUGGUAGAAGUAGAAGCAAAGAUUGACACCUUUAUAGCCUCCGAUGAAGAUGUGAACAAGAGUAUUCGAAUCGACACACAUCAUAAAUCGGUAUCAAACAUGCAACAGGAGGCACAAUUAAGAGAGCCAACAAAAAGACGCUUGAAAGGCCAAUCUAGCAAAAGAAUUAAAGGUCCAUUGGAAAGCAAAUCACGAAGGAAUAAUUCACCAAAAGUAAUGGAUGGCAUGACAGGUAAUAGGGAUGCAGGCCAUGUCAUGACUGGAGGAGCCUUAAACUCUAAUCAUGUUGUAGAGGCGGGAGUGUUUGGAAUGGCGCAACAAGGAUAUUGUAACAAUAAUAGUUGGCAAUGGAUGCAUCUAAGAGACACACAUCCACAUGCAAGCUUACCACUUCAAGGCAUGUUUCAACCGUGGAAUGCUACAACGUCUCAACAAAGGGAAUUCCUCUCAAAUGAUUUCUUAAUGUCACAGGAGGCUUCUUCAUUACAAAUGUUUGCAUCUCCGACAAUAACUACAAGCCAACAAGUUGUGAGUUCGUCAACAUCAAAUAUUAUGAAGUAAUCGACAUUGUAAAAAGCAGUGGUUCACUAAGUAUUUUGAAGUUGCUAGUGUGAACUAAACAACGCAUCCUAAGCUUAAUUGGGCGAGGCCACGGAAAAAGAAACCUUCUUCUGCCAUGCAGCGUAAGUCCGUGCCUAUCCGCAACUUGUUUGUUGCAAAUUUUUCAUACGAAAUCACGGAUGAGGAUCUUAAGGAGUUUUUCAAUUCUGAUAAUGCCAAUGUUGUUUUUGCGAAAAUUAUAUUUCAUGAAAAUCCAAGGUCUGUUGGGUAUGGAUUUGUAUUCUCCAUUUCCAAGGAGGCUGAAGCUACUCUCACUGCUUUUGAAGGAAAGUUAUGUAUGGGAAGACCAAUUUGAGUGGCUCCUAGCAGAAGAUUUUUGAGACAAGCAACGAAAAUGAGUACUCAAUUGGCGAAUGCGUCAAGUAAACCAAACCCUGAUGCUGAACAAGCAGAAGCCCUUGAAGCUUGAUGGUGAAUUUUCUUGGACAGUUUAGGUUUUUCAGUUUUUUCUUUUGAGGUUGUAAAAGAUACUAAGAUAUGUGUAAUCAGUUAUUUGUUUAAUUAAUGUAUGCCCCCACUCACCCAAAAAUGGGGGUGCGAGGACUCCUUUUACUCCAGUGUAGUUUCUUUUUUCGGGGGACUAUCCAUGUAUAUAGUAAGCAUAAGAUUGAUGAUCA